rnacentral:misc_RNA from 1 species
AAAGUCGUAACAAGGUUUCCGUAGGUGAACCUGCGGAAGGAUCAUUACAGAGUUCAUGCCCUUCGGGGUAGAUCUCCCACCCUUGUGUAAUAUUAUCGAAUGUUGCUUUGGCGGGCCGCAAGCCUGGCUUGCCCGGAUUCGCGUCCGGCGUGCCCGCCAGAGGACCCCUAAAACUCUGAAUGUUAGUGUCGUCUGAGUACUAUUAAAUAGUUAAAACUUUCAACAACGGAUCUCUUGGUUCUG